rnacentral:rRNA from 1 species
AGAGUUUGAUCAUGGCUCAGAUUGAACGCUGGCGGCAGGCCUAACACAUGCAAGUCGAGCGGCAGCACAGGGGAACUUGUUCCCUGGGUGGCGAGCGGCGGACGGGUGAGUAAUGGCUGGGAACCUGCCCUGAUGUGGGGGAUAACAGUUGGAAACGACUGCUAAUACCGCAUGAUGUCUACGGACCAAAGAGGAGGACCUUCGGGCUUCUCGCGUCAGGAUGGGCCCAGUUGGGAUUAGCUAGUUGGUAGGGUAAUGGCCUACCAAGGCGACGAUCCCUAGCUGGUUUGAGAGGAUGAUCAGCCACACUGGAACUGAGACACGGUCCAGACUCCUACGGGAGGCAGCAGUGGGGAAUAUUGCACAAUGGGCGCAAGCCUGAUGCAGCCAUGCCGCGUGUGUGAAGAAGGCCUUCGGGUUGUAAAGCACUUUCAGCAGUGAGGAAGGUGGUGUAGUUAAUACCUGCAUCAUUUGACGUUAGCUGCAGAAGAAGCACCGGCUAACUCCGUGCCAGCAGCCGCGGUAAUACGGAGGGUGCGAGCGUUAAUCGGAAUUACUGGGCGUAAAGUGCAUGCAGGCGGUCUGUUAAGCAAGAUGUGAAAGCCCCGGGCUUAACCUGGGAACCGCAUUUUGAACUGGCAGGCUAGAGUCUUGUAGAGGGG